UACGUAGGGUGCAAGCGUUGUCCGGAAUUAUUGGGCGUAAAGAGCUCGUAGGCGGUGUGUCACGUCGGCCGUGAAAACCUGCAGCUUAACUGUGGGCGUGCGGUCGAUACGGGCAUCACUGGAGUUCGGCAGGGGAGACUGGAAUUCCUGGUGUAGCGGUGAAAUGCGCAGAUAUCAGGAGGAACACCGGUGGCGAAGGCGGAUCUCUGGGCCAUUACUGACGCUGGAGGAGCGAAAGCGUGGGGAGCGAACAGG
rnacentral:rRNA from 1 species